rnacentral:rRNA from 1 species
GACGAACGCUGGCGGCGUGCUUAACACAUGCAAGUCGAACGGAAAGGCCUGUCCUUCCUUGUGUUGGACGGGUGCUCGAGUGGCGAACGGGUGAGUAACACGUGAGUGAUCUGCCCCCAACUUGGGUAUAAGCCUGGGAAACUGGGUCUAAUUCCCGAUAGAACUGCAGGGUGGUGCCUGUGGUGGAAAACGAUUUUCUAGUGGUUGGGGAUGAGCUCGCGGCCUAUCAGCUUGUUGGUGGGGUAAUGGCCUACCAAGGCGGCGACGGGUAGCCGGCCUGAGAGGGUGGACGGCCACAUUGGGACUGAGAUACGGCCCAGACUCCUACGGGAGGCAGCAGUGGGGAAUAUUGCACAAUGGGCGGAAGCCUGAUGCAGCGACGCCGCGUGGGGGAUGACGGCCUUCGGGUUGUAAACUCCUUUCGACCGCGAGGAAGCCGCCUGGUUGGAAGGGUGGUGACGGUAGUGGUAGAAGAAGCACCGGCUAACUACGUG